rnacentral:tRNA from 1 species
AGGCCUGUAGUUCAGCUGGUAGAGCAUCGGUCUCCAAAACCGAGUGUCGCGGGUUCAAAUCCUGCCGGGCCUG